UAAUACAUAAGUAACCUGCCCUAGACAGGGGGAUAACUAUUGGAAACGAUAGCUAAGACCGCAUAGGUACGGACACUGCAUGGUGACCGUAUUAAAAGUGCCUCAAAGCACUGGUAGAGGAUGGACUUAUGGCGCAUUAGCUGGUUGGCGGGGUAACGGCCCACCAAGGCGACGAUGCGUAGCCGACCUGAGAGGGUGACCAGCCACACUGGGACUGAGACACGGCCCAG
rnacentral:rRNA from 1 species